GGUGCUCAGCGGGGGCCGCAGCCCCGCGCGGCCCGGCCCGGCCCCUCCAUGCGGCCCCGGGUUUGUUUGUUUAUGUCCCUUCCUGACGGGUUCCCGGAAAUCGCGUGACUCGACCCUCACGUGGCCCGAGGGGGCGGGCGCGCGCGAGGGGCGGGGGGAAGGGGGCUGCGCCGUCCAAUAGCAGGGGGCUGUGACUGUCACGUGGCGGCGGAGCGGCGCGCGGGGGCUAUUUAAGGCGGGGAGGCGGGUGCCCGCGGGCAGAGCGCGGCGGGGCCGAGGCGCGGCCGCGGCUGCUGAGGCUGUGCGGGGCUCCCGUCCCACAGCCCGGUCCUGCUGCUCUGCGGCCCCGCUCUCGCACUUACUCCUCCUUCAUCCGUUCGUGUCCUACCCGCAGCUCUGUAAUUUGUCCUACUGUCUUCUGCUACAUGCACAACCACCUUUCACAGUGUCAGGUGGCUGGCAUGGACUGCUUCAGACACAACUGGAGAAAUUAUUAGUAAUAAAUAUAAUAAAAAUAGAGUAACUCGUUUUUAUCUUGCUAUUUGUAAAGAAUGUCUUCUAUUCUUUAAAGAAGUUUUUGUUAUUUCACCCCAUUUAUUCUAUUUUUGCCCCACGGAGUCCAUGACAUUUAAUUCUGGAAACAAGGAAGCAGCCACCCACCUCUGAUAACUCAGCCCUUCACAGGAGUAAAAUGCUUCCAUGAUUUCCUCUAGAGGAAAAGUAAACUUCUGUACAGUCUGCAGAACGAUUUCUUGUGAGGGGCAGAGAUGCAGAUAUUUGCAUUUCCUAAACAAUAUGAACGAAAGCAGUUACAAGCAUUUGAAAUGACCCUGACCUGAAUUCGCACUCUAUACAUUGCCAGAGUUUAUGACUUAAAAGUCUUCACAACUUGACUGUGGAGUCAGUUUCCUUCACCUUCCUCAUUUUUUACCCAAGUAUCUUUCAACACAGGCAAAGGUUUUCCAUUUCAAGCACAAACUUCUUUCUUUUACACUUGAACAAUCUGUGUUCUCUUCUGCUGUCAGACAACAGAGGCAUGAGUGAUAAAUGCUCUGGUACCUGCAUUGUUUGUUCAGCAGCAGUGGCUGAACCUCUUUCUUCUCAUUUCCUGCAGUCAUGCAAAAAAAAGGAAAUUAUCCCAAGCAGUGUUAAUUCCUAGCACACAAGGAGAAGAAGAUUCCCCAACCACCAUGCAACAUCCAGCAGAACACGCACAAAACAUUAUUCACUUCUUCAGUCAUCUACCACCUGGCACCUGCUUCAGAGGAAAUGUUAACCACUCUGGACAAUCUGGGGAAUGCCUUUUGGGGAAGCAUCUAGCCUACAGAAAGACAGAUUCCUCCUACCAAAGAGCUACCCUGGUCUGAGCACACUGCUCACAUUGCUAUUCAAUCUCUCCUGAAGCUUUAACACACCAAAUACAUCAAUAAAUCUGCUCAUACUCACCUGUCAAUGAGCUGCAGCACUGCACAGACAUCCUCAAGGCCAGUGGUAUCUGAGGUACCAGAUUGUUUCAUUGCUUAACUGUGGCCCAAAGAGAGGGUUGAGCUGAGCCAGAAUUGCAAUCAGCCAACUGCAAGAGAACCCCCCAGCCCAAGAGACACAAAUCAGCCAAAGGACAGCUUGUGACAAUGGAAGGUUGUCCAAACACCAGGACUAUCAGAGAAGAAAAGGUUAUUUUAGGAAGGUCUAGGUUCAAAUAAAGAUUCUACUCAAGGUCAAACACAAGGACCAGCCACCAGCAAUGAAGUUAUGGCACCAAAUCAUUCUGCAACUGAAACAGAUUGUCCUGUUCAACUGAAAGCAACACAAAAUCACCUGCUAGCAUUGCCCUCACACCUCUCUUUGACAGAAAAGUGUUUUGAGACACAUGAAACUCAGGAUUUUGGGGGCUCAGAAGAUGAAAACAUAAAAGAGACAAGAGCUUUUUUCAGUGCCUUUGAAGCAUCCUUUAAACAACAACCUCUGAGAAACAUCCUCUCUCUCAUUUGCUUCUCAGUGCACAGCAACCUGCCCUUGCAGAUGUGGUAUAUUUUUCAGAGAUUUAACAAAAGUGAAUUUAAACCUGGCACAGAGGUCAAGAAACAGGGACCUGAAGCAAAAGGGUACAAAAGAACACAAAGACCAACAAAGUACCCCACAAAAACAACCCCAAUAUGACACAAACCCCAGAUGAUCAGCACAGCAGCCUUGUCACUGGAGCAGAGCACAAACUAACACUGCAGAAGCCAUGGCCAGAACUGAGAGCAAGAGGAAUGUAGUUUGUGGAAAAUAUCCAGGAAAGCUAAACAGAAAUAAAUAUUCCACUCUUAAAAGAUAUAUUUGCUUUGUAAAUGUUACAAGAAUCAGAAAAAGCAAUGGAUGCUUCCACGGAUUUAAAUCUAUGUUAAAUACUAACUAUAUAAACACAUUUAGUGAA